GUGUGUUAGUGUAUGUGUGUGUGUGUGUCAGCAUGUCUGUGUGUGUGUCAGUAUGUCUGUCUGUCUGUGUGUCAGUAUAUAUCUGUGUGUGUCAGUAUUACUGUCAGUGUGUCAGUAUGUCUGUUAGUGCAUGUGUAUGCAUGUGUCAGUAUAUCUGUCUCUGUGCCAGUAUGUCUGUGUGUGUGUGUGUGUGUCAGUAUAUCAGUCUGUGUGUGUCAGUGUAUGUGCCUGUGUGUGUGUGUCAGUAUUUCUCAGUGUAUG